rnacentral:rRNA from 1 species
UUGCACGCUGGCGGCAUGCCUUACACCUGCCAGUCGAACGGUAACAGGUCUUCGGAUGCUGACGAGUGGCGAACGGGUGAGUAAUACAUCGGAACGUGCCCGAUCGUGGGGGAUAACGAGGCGAAAGCUUUGCUAAUACCGCAUACGAUCUACGGAUGAAAGCGGGGGAUCUUCGGACCUCGCGCGGACGGAGCGGCCGAUGGCAGAUUAGGUAGUUGGUGGGAUAAAAGCUUACCAAGCCGACGAUCUGUAGCUGGUCUGAGAGGAUGAUCAGCCACACUGGGACUGAGACACGGCCCAGACUCCUACGGGAGGCAGCAGUGGGGAAUUUUGGACAGUGGGCGAAAGCCUGAUCCAGCCAUGCCGCGUGCAGGAUGAAGGCCUUCGGGUUGUAAACUGCUUUUGUACGGAACGAAAAGCCUCUUUCUAAUAAAGAGGGGUCAUGACGGUACCGUAAGAAUAAACACCGGCUAACUACGU